GACAGAGGUGCCGAGCGUUAGGCGGAAUCACUGGGCUUAAAGCGUGUGUAGGCGGAUCGUUAAGUACCUUGUGAAAUCCCACGGCUCAACCGUGGAACUGCUGGGUAUACUGGCGGUCUUGAGCCACCUAGGGGCGAGCGGAACAAGCGGUGGAGCGGUGAAAUGCGUAGAUAUCGCGUGGAACGCCAACGGUGAAAACAGCUCGCUGGGGGUGUGCUGACGCUGAGACACGAAAGCCAGGGGAGCAAACGGG
rnacentral:rRNA from 1 species